rnacentral:rRNA from 1 species
CGUGUAGGCGGUCGGGUAAGUCAGAUGUGAAAGCCUUUCGCUUAACGGAAGAAGUGCAUUUGAAACUGCUCGGCUGGAGUACGGGAGAGGAGAGUGGAGUUCCCGGUGUAGAGGUGAAAUUCGUAGAUAUCGGGAGGAACACCAGUGGCGAAGGCGGCUCUCUGGUCCGAUACUAACGCUGAGACGCGAAAGCGUGGGGAGCAAACAGGAUUAGAUACCCUGGUAGUCCACGCCGUAAACGAUGGGCACUAGGUGUAGGAGGUAUUGACCCCUUCUGUGCCGAAGUUAACGCAUUAAGUGCCCCGCCUGGGGAGUACGGCCGCAAGGCUAAA